GGAAUUUUCCGCAAUGGGCGAAAGCCUGACGGAGCAACGCCGCGUGAGUGAUGAAGGUCUUCGGAUCGUAAAACUCUGUUAUCAGGGAAGAACAAAUGUACGGUACCUAAUCAGAAAGCCACGGCUAACUACGUGCCAGCAGCCGCGGUAAUACGUAGGUGGCAAGCGUUAUCCGGAAUUAUUGGGCGUAAAGCGCGCGUAGGCGGUUUUUUAAGUCUGAUGUGAAAGCCCACGGCUCAACCGUGGAGGGUCAUUGGAAACUGGAAAACUUGAGUGCAGAAGAGGAAAGUGGAAUUCCAUGUGUAGCGGUGAAAUGCGCAGAGAUAUGGAGGAACACCAGUGGCGAAGGCGACUUUCUGGUCUGUAACUGACGCUGAUGUGCGAAAGCGUGGGGAUCAAACAGGAUUAGAUACCCCAGUAGUC
rnacentral:rRNA from 1 species